rnacentral:lncRNA from 1 species
AUGGAGACUGAGCUACAUCUUACACACGAAGAGAAACGAGUUUCCCUCAGGGACACACACACACACACACACACUGAGACAGAGCGAGACUGGAGUACUUCAGCUAGUGGAAGAGAAGCAACUGACGGACACACAGCUGCAUCAACAUCAGUGACAGAACCCAGCGACAUGCAGGAUUUAACACUAGAAAGUGAUCUGGAUCAGUGAUCCUGCAUAAAGCUGCAUGAUGCAUUUGACCAAAGCAGCAUCAUUGGGUUUCUGUUAAUAAAGAUCUGACGACUCAAACACUGAACUUCAACCAGGUGAGGGAUUCUGGCUGCAGUCAGUUCUUCCUUACUUUUGCAUUUAUUCAUUUAUGCAAAGUGACUUACAAAUGAGGAACAAGCCAUUAUUCAUAGUACACAAUGACAAGAUUAAAGAAUAAACUAGAUUAGUACACAAACUGGAGCAGAAGAGGAAGCUACAGAUUCAUUUUUCAUAUUUAAAUAGGAGUCAUUGUAGUAAACGUCUUUGUUUAUGGUUGUAGUUAGUUUAGUGCUCCUGUCUUCAGCUGUUUGAAGGUUAUGAUGGUCUAAAAUGGUUAUAUGGAGGUUGGAGUUCAUUCCAACGCAGAGGAACAGAGACGGUGAAGGGUCUGGAAAAGUACUUUAUGCCUCAUUGUGAAUGAACAAACACCUUUCAGAAUGUUCCAGUUCUGAACAUCAAAGUCUUGAAUGUGAUGCUUGAAGUUCACGGGACAUUUGAGUCAUGUUCCUGGUCUUAUCAUAUUUUAUUAGAUUCAGUGUAAAUGAUGAUUAUGACAGAAAGGUCGUGUAAAGACAGUAGUGAUUCGUUACUUAAUGAUUCAGUGUUAUUGAACGAAUCAGGUAAGUCAAUGAUUCAGUGAGCGAUUCAUAAAGAAUAGUGUAAUGUUUUCUCACAUGUGAUUGAGACGUGAGCUAAUCUGACAGUGUUGAUGCCGUCUCUCAUCGUGUGGCUGGUUAUCCUGUGCACAGUCAUGUGUUUUGGAGGCGUGGCUUUGGAGAGUGAUUUGCAGGGAGGGUGGGAUCUUAUGUUUUCAAAGCUAGCUUGCUAUUGAUAGCCUCUCCAGAAUCUCCGAGCCUACCUUUAAUGAUUCAGAAUAUUUGAAUGAAUCUGGUGAGUCAGUGACUACAUUAACAUGGACAUAUGAUUAUGGUGUUGCUUUUAGAAUAUUCCUUUCGUGUUCCUGUUUUACAUGUCAUAGUAUAGAUUGAUUAAUGGUGCACGUUACGUCCCCACACCACGCCAUCCGACGUCCAAUCAAGAAUUUCACAGUUUUGGCUUCAUUUUAAAUUUUAUGAAAGCUUCAAGUGCAGUUAAUUAUUCCUCAUGUUAUAUGUGCAAACAGACAACGGCGUUCUUGAAGCCAUGCUCUUUUGUUUGCCAUCAAACGGUUGACCACUGCCAUGUGUAUCCUGUCGCAAAAUGCAGUGAAAAGUCAAUGUGAAGCAGAUCUAUACAGGUGGAGCUGGGGAGGUGGAGGGCUGCGCCGUGUGAAUAAUGAUGUUCGUUAUGGCCUAUCAGCCUGUGCCUUCUAGGGUUUCAUGACAGAGCUGUGAAUUAUGCAGCUCUGAAAUGAACUGAUUGCGGUUUCUUCAACAUUCUGGUUAAAGCUAAGGAAACACACAGAUGUCAUGAACGGUUAUUUAUUCAGCUUUAGUGAUUGUAUUGUUUGAAACUGUCAAGGCAGAUCAAACCGUGAUUAUUUCUCUAAUCUAGAUUAGUCCCAUAUGCUGCAUGAAUCCUGAUGAGAAUCCUACUGUCAAAUAAUGUGGCAUGAAAAUUCUAACGCAGCAUCAGACAGUGGCAUUAGUCUGACACUGUGUCUACAUCGGACGCAAUGUGACAAAAUUCAAUAGAACCCAUUAUAAUCAGUGAUGCUGUCAAUACUGGAUGCGGCGCACAUGGCAUGACAAAUGUUGUGUCCGGUGUAAAACACGGCCAGUAUGACGAAAACAAUAGUGGACGCGGAAAACAGUGAGUGAGCAAUACCGUCUUUGUUAUGGAAUACAAGUGUUGUUUACAUUGAGUUAACAAUCUAACGUACCACAAGUUUGCUUUAAUUCAUUUUCAAGAUCUGAGGUAAAAUAUUUGUUGUUGUUCCAGCAGCAACGUCGCAGAAAAUAGAAACUGUUUCGAAAAUAGAAUUCCCUGUCGCUUGCAGCUGUCACGGGUGGAUAGGACAAAAACCAGUGUUGGGGAAAGUUACUUUUAAAAGAAAUGCAUUACAAUAAUGUGUUACUCCCUAAAAAAAAGUAACUUGAAAAUUACGUUACUUGGUUACUUUUUAUGGAAGGUAAUGUGUUACAUUACUUUUGUGUUACUUUUCAAAUCUGGGCUGGGCUGUCUUGUUUGUUUUUAAUAUAUAAAGUUCUAUUUUUGGUAGAUGUAAAAGACCUUUCACACCAAAACGUGAAAUGAAUAAACCUCAGGCUGAAGAAGAAGUUCAUUCACAUCUGUGCAGCGGAAUGUAGGAGAAGAAAGUUUAACACUCUUCAGCAAUAAUUUUUUUUAUUAGCACAAAUGUUAGUUUAUCUAAAGUAAUUUUUGCUUAUUAGUAUGAAUGCAUUUGAUAAUCGAAGCUCAGCAGCAAAGACAUUGUUUAAUAAAAUGGGGUUAAAUACAUAAAAGAUAUUUGUGUUAUUAACCAUUUAAGUAUUGCAGAUUUGCGUCAUAUUCAGAGUUUGCAUUUCACUGUUCUUUAUUCAUUUGGAGGUUUACUGAAUCUGUUUUUGUCGAAGUGAGAUGAAUUAAUGCAUGCUCACAUAGAACUUACCAUACUCAGGGCACACAUUGAAUGCCUCUGUACUUACUCCUGACUUUUCACAACAUGAGCACAGAAGAGCGGUCAGUGAAUAAAUAGGAAAACAAAGUAACUGGCGUUACUUAUUUGAAAAAGUAACUCUGAAAUAUUCUUGUAAAUGAAAAAGUAAUGCGUUACUUUACUAGUUACUUGAACAAAAAAAGUACUUAUGAUUAUGUAACUGGAGUUACUUGUAAUGCAUUAACCUCAACACUGACAAAAACUACAUGGCGAAAGAUACAUUUUAUCACAUCUGGUUGGGACACAGUGUUACAGUUUGGACCCCUCAAAAAAAAAUACAAAGUAUAAAAAUAUUAAUGCUGACAGAUCUAAUAACUGAAUCUGCAUUUAGGAAAAGUGUAGAGAAGAGAUCCAGAUGAGCAGAUCAUGAAGUUCCAGAUUUUUUGUUUGUUAAUUUGUUUUGAUAUUUAACAGGCAAAGUUCUUUAGUUUUCUCUAUUUGAAUACAAAAAUGUGUAUAAUUGUUAGAAUAAAACAGACUACUAGGGAGAAAAAUCUGAAUAUUUAUUUUGUGACUCUUUUAACAACAAUAACAUAAACAACAUGCAAACAUUUUGGUCCUAACAUGAUCGGUGGCCCUUGGCUCGGUGUUGUUGUCCCUCAGUGAACCCUGGUGUCCACCGCCUUUACCUCACACUCCUCCUCCGUUACGAUGGUCAUGGU